AUCUGCAGCCAUAGCACCUGCAUGCGCCCGAUCUCAUCUGAUCUUGGAAGCUAAGCAGGUUGGACCUCGUUAGUGCUUGGAUGGCAGAAUGUGUUGAAUGAAGGGUUGGGGCUC
rnacentral:rRNA from 1 species